UUAAGGGGAUAACGGACAGGGAGAAGAACGUUCUUAAAAGUCUUAAAGUAAACAGAGGGCUGGGGGAAAAACUGACACAAAAUUAGCAACGGAACUAAAUCAAGAAAUAGUGUUCAUGUCUCAUAUAUCCUCAGUAAAUAUCACAGAUGGUCUUCAUGUCAUUUAAACAAGCUGGCAAGAUGAGAGAGAGCAAGACUGAAAGCUCCGCAGGUUAAUGAUUUGACGACGCCCCCCUCAUUUCAUGGGAGGUCCCAUCUCGUCUCAGGCUACAGCAGCCCCCAUCAUGCAGCACGGAAACACUUCCUGCUUUCCCAGGCUGCCUCUUAUUGGUGGAGCCCCCAGCUGGGAGGGACCAAUCAGGAGGCAGGGACUGAGGCACAGCAUAGCGACAGGAAUCUUGCAAAACAAGGAACCUCGCAAGAAAGAGAAAUCGUGGUGUUUUAAAACCACGGGUCAGUAGUGGCAAGCAGGCCCUCGUUUUUACUUGCUAAGCAAAUCGCAAAGAAAAAGGAAAUGUUACAGCCUUCUGUAAAAACAAACUUCUGUUUAGCUACAAAGAAACUUUGGCAGAGGGACUGAAGAAAAAAAAGAUUUUGGAAAAUUUAGCCCAGAGGGCCAGGGCUGAAAUUGCAACGUCUCAGUCAGGUAGCUUCUGAUUGGCUCGCUUGCCAGGAAAACUCCACAAUAUACUAACAGGUUGUUAUCUCAGGGAAAAGGAAGAGGACUGACUGCCUGGCAGUGAGGACCCCACAGUGACAAAGUGACAGCGAAGAGAGGAUGUGCCAUCGGAGAGUCUUCGUAAUCCUGAAGCAAGGAAUCAUAUGGACGCAACUGAUGCACAAUUGAAGUUCAUUUGCAUCGCUGAGAAGAGCCUUCACAAAUCUGGGAUGACAGUAUAUUACCAAGGAGCAAAUGACUCUCGGUGCCAAAUUUUUUAUAUAUAAUGCAAAUUUUUCAUUUAGGAUAUUUACAUUUUUUUUGACAUUCCAGGUCUAAAUGUCUGAAUAUUCUUAAGAAUUAAAACU